UACAGAGGUCUCAAGCGUUGUUCGGAUUCAUUGGGCGUAAAGGGUGUGUAGGUGGCGCCGUAAGUCAGGUGUGAAAUUUCGGAGCUUAACUCCGAAACUGCAUUUGAUACUGCGGUGCUUGAGGACUGGAGAGGAGACUGGAAUUCAUGGUGUAGCAGUGAAAUGCGUAGAGAUCAUGUGGAAGACCAGUGGCGAAGGCGGGUCUCUGGACAGUUCCUGACACUGAGACACGAAGGCCAGGGGAGCAAACGGG
rnacentral:rRNA from 1 species